GAGUUUGAUCCUGGCUCAGAACGAACGCUGGCGGCAGGCCUAACACAUGCAAGUCGAACGCCCCGCAAGGGGAGUGGCGCACGGGUGAGUAACGCGUGGGAAUGUGCCCUUGGGUGCGGAACAACAUCGGGAAACUGAUGCUAAUACCGCAUAAUGACUACGGUCCAAAGAUUUAUCGCCCAAGGAUCAGCCCGCGUAAGAUUAGGUAGUUGGUGGGGUAAUGGCCUACCAAGCCGACGAUCUUUAGCUGGUCUUAGAGGAUGAUCAGCCACACUGGGACUGAGACACGGCCCAGACUCCUACGGGAGGCAGCAGUGAGGAAUCUUGGACAAUGGGCGAAAGCCUGAUCCAGCCAUGCCGCGUGAGUGAUGAAGGCCUUCGGGUUGUAAAGCUCUUGAAGCCGAUGCUCAGAUAUCCUCACACUGCGGCCGCUCGACAUCAUCGUGAGGGCCUGCCGUCGCUCAGUGAUGUCGCU
rnacentral:rRNA from 1 species